rnacentral:tRNA from 1 species
UGGCUCAGUUGGUAGAGCAUGGCGCUUGCAAUGCUCGGAUUGUGGGUUGGAUUCCCAU